rnacentral:rRNA from 1 species
GGAUGAUGUGGUAUUAAUUCGAUGCAACGCGAAAACCUUACCUACCCUUGACAUACCACUAACGAAGCAGAGAUGCAUUAGGUGCCCGAAAGGGAAAGUGGACACAGGUGCUGCAUGGCUGUCGUCAGCUCGUGUCGUGAGAUGUUGGGUUAAGUCCCGCAACGAGCGCAACCCUUGCCGAUAGUUGCUACGAAAGGGCACUCUAUCGGGACUGCCGGUGACAAACCGGAGGAAGGUGGGGAUGACGUCAAGUCCUCAUGGCCCUUAUGGGUAGGGCUUCACACGUCAUACAAUGGUCGGUACAGAGGGCUGCCAACCCGCGAGGGGGAGCUAAUCCCACAAAACCGAUCGUAGUCCGGAUUGCAGUCUGCAACUCGACUACAUGAAGUCGGAAUCGCUAGUAAUCGUGGAUCAGCAUGUCACGGUGAAUACGUUCCCGGGUCUU